UCUUCUUUUUGUUUUAUUUCAAAACUUCUUUUGAGAGGAAAAAUGAGCACUAAAACUAGAACACCAGUGCAUCAAAUUUUGUGUGUAUUUGUGAGAAUGUAAUUUAUUCCCAACUGUGUAUGUGUGUAUCAUUCUAUUCUAUGGAGUCGGUUUUUAGCUCAUCCUUUUGUUAUCUGUGGGAAGCCAGGAAACAAAAACAAAAAUAAGCAGAUACUGUUGAGGAGAGGACCCACGUGGACCAAGAAGUCCCACAUGACGGCAGCGCUGAGUGGGCAGAGCCUGAGGCUUGGAAGCUGCCUCAGCAGGAAGGGGCAGCCUUGCUCAACCCCACCCUCCAUCAGUGCAGGGUCAGGCACAAGCCUCAGGCCUGAGCCUUUGUUGUCCUUCCUCUGGCAAUGCCUAAGGCCCAGCUCCGUUCCCUUUGGUCUAAAGAAUAGGCCAGGGUAGGAGGAGGGGGAUGCUGACCUCACACAGGAUGCUAGAAAAUAAUGUUAUAAAUUUGGGGUAAUUUUCCCUGUUCACCUCACCCUAGCAAAAGGCCUUCUUUUGUCAAAAUUAAAACCAUUUACAAAAGUGCAGGCUUGUUGUUGUUUUGAAGUAUUUGAAUCGCUAGGUGUUUUCCCUGGGACUCAGUUUCAAAAUCAGACACCUGCCUGAAGAAGGAAAAACAGAAUCAGUGAUGUCAUCAUCCUUCCUCAGCAGCACUUCAGGGCUCCAGAUGCCUGGCCCUCUUUCAGUUCUUCAAACUAGAGGAGCUUCCCUCCACCUCAGGGCUUUACACAAGCUGCUUCCUCUGCCCGGAAUGCUGACUCAUCCUUCCCGUCUCGGUGUGAGCCUCAUCACUUCCUCAGGGAGACCUUGCCCAGCCUCUCUCACGAAGUCAAAGCAGGCUGUGGGACCCAUCACACUUCUCCUUCAGGCAUUCCUCAGGGUCGCGGUCUGACACAUUUGUGUGGUUACUGGAUCAACACUCUCUCACCACUACAGUGAAAACCUUGUGAAGGCAGGGAGCAAAACUAUUUUUGGUUUAUUCCAACCCUCAGAGCCUAGAGUAGCUCCUGAAAUGCAACAAGGUAUGUCCUCAAUUAAUACCUUUGAAAUAAGGAAGGGGCUGGGUAAGGUGGCUCACACCUGUCAUCCCAGCACUUCAGAGGCCAUGGUGGGAGGAUUAUUUGAGGCCAGGAAUUUGAGAGCAGCCUGGGCAACAUAGCCAAACUCUAUCUCUACAAAGAAUUUAAUUUUCAUGCAGUUUUUUGAGACAGGGUCUGGCUCUGUCGCCCAGGCUGGAAUGCAGUGGCACAAUCACAGCUCUCUGUAGCCUCAACCUCCCAGGAUCAAGCAAGCCUCCCACCUCAGUCUCCCAAGUAGCUAGAACUAUGCAUGUACACCACCAUGCCCAGCUAAUUUUUUUUAUAUUUUGUAGGAACAGGGUCUCCCUAUAUUGCCCAGGCUGGUCUUGAACUCCUGGACUUAAGUGAUCCUCCUGCCUUAGCCUCUCAAAGUGCUGGGAUUACAGAUGU
rnacentral:lncRNA from 1 species